GACGAACGCUGGCGGCGUGCUUAACACAUGCAAGUCGAGCGGUCAGGCCCUUCGGGGUACACGAGCGGCGAACGGGUGAGUAACACGUGAGCAAUCUGCCCUUCACUCUGGGAUAGCCACCGGAAACGGUGAUUAAUACCGGAUAUGACCACGCCUGGCAUCUGGUGUGGUGGAAAGUUCUGGCGGUGAAGGAUGGGCCCGCGGCCUAUCAGCUUGUUGGUGAGGUAAUGGCUCACCAAGGCUUCGACGGGUAGCCGGCCUGCGAGGGUGACCGGCCACACUGGGACUGAGACACGGCCCAGACACCUACGGGAGGCAGCAGUGGGGAAUAUUGGACAAUGGGCGAAAGCCUGAUCCAGCAACGCCGCGUGAGGGAUGACGGCCUUCGGGUUGUAAACCUCUUUCAGCAGGGACGAAGCGCAAGUGACGGUACCUGCAGAAGAAGCACCGGCCAACUACGUGCCAGCCGCCGCCGUAAAAC
rnacentral:rRNA from 1 species